rnacentral:rRNA from 1 species
UAUAUUGGCCAGUGGGGGCACCCCUGAUCCUGCUAUACCGCGUGUGUGAAGAAGGUCUUCGGCGUGUAGAGCAUUUUAAGUUGGGAGGAAGGGCUCUAGGUUGAUACGAUGAAGUGUUGACGUCACCCUCAGAAUAAGCACCGGCUUACUCAGUGCCAGCAGCCGUGGUAAUAACGAGGGUGCAAGCGUUAAUCGGCAUUAUUGGGCGUAAAGCGCGCGUAGGUGGUUCAGUAAGAUGGGUGUUAAAUCCCGGGGAUUAACCUGGGAACUGCUUUCAUAGCUGCUGAGCUAGAGGACGGUAGAGGGUAGUAGAAUUUCCUGUGUAGCGGUGAAAUGCGUAGAUAUAAGAAGGAACACCAGUGGCGAAGGCGACUACCUGGACUAAUACUGACACUGAGGUGCGAAGGCGUGGGGAGCAAAC